AGUUUCUUCCUUCCGGUGGGCUCGUGGUCUCGCUGACUUAAGGAGUGAAGCCGCAGACCUUUGCAGUGAGUGUUACAGCUCUUAAAGGUGGCACGUCCAGAGUUGUUUGUUCUUCCUGGUGGGUUCGUGGUCUCAUUGACUUCAGGAAUGAAGCCACAGACACUCGCGACAAAAUCUUGCUCUGUCUCCCAGGCUGGAGAGCAGUGGCACGAUCUUGGCUCAUUGCAACCUCCACCUCUUGGUUCCAGCAAUCCUUCUACCCCAGCCUCCAGAGUAGGUGGGAUUACAGACAACUGCUCCGGCUUUUCCUUCCACUAUGAUUGGAAGCUACCUGAGGCCUCCCCAGAAGUAGAAGCCACUAUGCUUCCUGUACAGCCUGCAGAACCAUGAGCCAACUAAACCUCUUCUCUUUAUAAAUAUUCCAGUCUUAGGUAUUUCUUUAUAGCAAUGCAAGAAUGAACUAAUACAGAAUGUGUUUUCAAGAAAUUUGUCUAUUUCAUCUGAAUUUUCAAUUGGAUUGACUAUGAUAUUUCUGUUUUUUUGUUUGUUCAUUUUUGAUGAGGGGAUCUUACUAUGUUGCUCAGGCUGGUUAAAAACUCCUAGACUCAAGCAAUCCUCCCAUUUCAGCCUCCCAAUAGGUGGUAGGAUUUCUAGUUAUCUUGAUUUGUUGAGUCUUUUAUGAAAUAUUCUUUUUGUUUUUAGUAGUAUUAUCAAAACAAAUUUGACUUUGUCUGCUAUUAGAGAAGUCAUAUCAGCUGUCUCUGGUUAGUGUUUUUAUGAUAAACUUAUUUCCAUCCUUUUUGUUUCACCUCUGUGCCAUUUUUAUGGCAUAUCUCUUUAAACAGCAUAUGAUUGGGUUUUUGAUUUUGUAACCAGUCUGACAAUCUUGGUCUUGGUAUACUUACUCAAUAUAUUUGAAGUUAAAACUACCACAUUACAUUUAUUUUUUAUUUGUUCUAUUUGUCCUAUUUCAUUUUCUUCUUUCCCACUUCAACAAAUUAUUUUUAUCUUUCAAUGCCUCCCUCCAGUAGCUUGUUAUUAUAGUUUUUAAAAUUAAACUUUUACUCUUGAGAUAAUUGCACAUUGUCAUACAGUUGUAAGAAGCAUUACAGAGAGACACUGUGUCUUUACCCCAUUUUCUCCAAUGACAAUAUUUUGCAAAACUGUAGUACAGUAUCAUAACCAGGAAUUGACAUUGAUAGUCAAGAUACAGAACAUUUCCAUCACCACAAGGAUCCCUCAAAUUGCCUUUUUAUUGCCUCACCCACUCCCUCCCGUCCCCACUGCCUCCUGAACACCUGGCAACCACUAAGCUGUUCUUUAUUUCUAUAAUUUUGUCAUUUCAAGACAAAAUAUACAAAAAGGCAUGGGCUUAUAUAGUAUGUAACCUUUGGAAUUUUUUUUCUUUUUUGAGACGGAGUCUCGCUCUGUCGCCAAGCUCGAGUGCAGUGGUGCGAUCUCAGGUCACUGCAAUCUCCACCUCCCGGGUUGAAGCAAUUCUCCUGCCUCAGCCUCCAGAGUAGCUGGGACUACAGAUGUGCACCACCACACCCAGCUAAUUUUUGUGUUUUUAGUAGAGAUGGGGUCUCACCAUGUUGGCCAGGAUGGUCUUGAUCUCCUGACCUCAUGAUUUGCCCGCCUCAGCCUCCCAAAGUGUUGGGUUACAGGCGUGAGCCACUGUGCCUGGCCUGGAAUUUUUUUUUUUCCCCUACUCAAUGUAACUCCCUGGAGAUUCAUCCAGGCUGUUGCAUGUAUCAGUAAUUUGUUCCUUUUUAUUGCUGAGUAGUAUGGUAUGGAUUUAGAACAGUUUGUUUAGCCAUUCACCCAGUGAAGGACAUCUGGGUUGUUUCUAGUUUGGGGAUAUUAUGAAUAAAGCUGCUAUAAACAUUAAUGUAUAGAUUUUUGUGAAAAUGUAAGUCUGUAUUUUUCUUUCCUUUUUUCUCCCUACUUACCUUUGGAGAAAGUCCUUCAUUUUUCUGAGGUAAAUUUUCAAGAGUACAAUUGCUGGGCUGUGGGGCAGUUUCAUGCUUAGGUUUUUAAGAAAUUGCAAACUAUUUUCCACAAUGGCUGUAUCAUUCUACAUUCCCAGCAGCAAUGCAUGAGUGAUCCAGCUUCUCUGCAUCCUUGCCAGUAUUUGGUGUUGUCACUAUUUUUAUUUUAUCCAAUCUGAUAGGUGUAUGGUGAUGUGGCAUUGUGUUUUAAUUUGCAUUUUCCUAAUUGCUAAUGAUGUUGAAUAUCUCAUUUGCUUAUGUGCCAUCUGUAAACCAUCUAUGGUAAGUUUUUGUCCAUGUCUUUUUUUAAUUUUCUAAUUGGACUUUUAUUGAGUUUUGAGAGUUCUUUAUAUAUUACGGAUAUUAGUUCCUUGUCAGAUGUGUGGUUUGCAAGUAUUUUCUUCUAGUCUGUAAUUUGCCUUUUACUACUCCUAAUGCUUUUCACAGAGGAAAAUGUAUUAGUUUAAAUAAAGUUCAGUUUUUCCUUACA